rnacentral:tRNA from 1 species
AGGGGUAUAGCUCAGCUGGUAGAGCAGCUGAUUCCAAAUCAGCAGGUCGGGAGUUCGAGUCUCUCUGCCCCUG